AGAGAAUGCUAAUGAGCUGUGAAAUGACCAAAGAUCUGGCAGCAGAAGGGAAAAGAAAAAAUAAUGGGAACAAGAGGAUUUAUCUGACUCAACUGGAGAUGGCUCCCUUCCCUAAUUUAUUGUUGCAUCCUGAAGCUUCCCCCAUGCUGGGCUCAGUGUGAACAAACAGCGCGGGAGAAUGCAACCACUGCAGAGGCAUAUGUUUGAGAUGCCUGGCCACUGGAGGUCAUCUCGUCUACUAUGUUCACCACAGAUAAAGAAUGAAAAGAGAAUAUACAACCUUGUGAUUGCUAGCAGUGAAAGCUCAGAGUUAUGACAUAACAGUAAGUGUUAUAUU
rnacentral:lncRNA from 1 species